UAAACCAGGCAGUCGCGUGAUUUCGAUUUUUGAAUCAUGAGGAAAGUCCGGGCUCCACAGGGUAAGGAUGCCAGAUAACUUCUGGCGUAGGUAACUAUAGGGAAAGUGCAACAGAAUGUUUGCAGCCUGAACGGCAACGCCGUGGUAAGGUUGAAAUGGUGAGGUAAGAGCUCACCGUCAUCUCGGAGACGAGGUGGACGUGUAAACCCCAUCCGGAGCAAGGUCAAAUAGGGCAGUAGGUUGGCGACCCGUCACGGCCCGUAAGGUAGACCGCACGAGCGUGCAGCGAUGUUACGCCAUAGAUAGAUGAUUGCCUAAUACAGAACCCGGCUUACGGUUUGCCU
rnacentral:RNase_P_RNA from 1 species